UACAGAGGUGGCAAGCGUUGUUCGGAAUUACUGGGCGUAAAGGGCGCGUAGGCGGCCCGUCAAGUCCCGUGUGAAAGCCCCCGGCUCAACCGGGGAACUGCACGGGAAACUAGCAGGCUUGAGUUCGGGAGAGGGAAGCGGAAUUUCGGGUGUAGCGGUGAAAUGCGCAGAUAUCCGAAGGAACAUCAGUGGCGAAAGCGGCUUCCUGGACCAGAACUGACGAUCAGGCACGAAAGCGUGGGGAGCAAACAGG
rnacentral:rRNA from 1 species